AUUUGUUUAAAUUGUGGAGGUGUGUUCUUUUCAGCCAAUCAAAAACUUUACCAGAAUUUUGGUAAGCCUCGUUUUGGCGUUACAAACGAUAUCACGUAUCUUUACCAGACCCUCUGGCUGGUCGGAGAUUUACGGAGACAGCCGAGUGUCUGGUUGAACGAGACUAGUUGAUUCACUGUUAGACGUUGCACAAUUUCAAAAUGGCGGACAAAGAUAACUGAUGCUGCAUAAUGUCCAUGUUAUGAAAAAGAAGAUAUGAAACAAAAGCCCGUGAGAAAAUGUCAACAUCAAUCAUUUAUGAAUGAAGAUGGAGUCUCUAGCCUAAAAUUUCUUGAGAUAAUCAGUGUUGCCUGGUUCAUCCAAUCAGAAUGAUCACUCCAUUUACAGACUAUCAGGUUCCAAUCUGAGGUAUACAAGGGAAGAGUAAAAUCUUUUUCAUUUCUAUUUACAAACACUUACUAGAUCCAGAAGAAUAUCCUGAUUGUUUUGUGCACCAUAAGAUGAAUUUCAAUCUGACACAUAAUUCUGAAAAAUUGAGUGGAACACCAUGAUCACUGGAUGGUCUUCUUCAAGCUGGCAUAUCUUGUCACAAUAUCUUGACUCUGCAUUGUCAUAAAAACUUUGCAUUCCUUAAAAUACAAAGACAAUUUUUAGAAACUAAAACAACAGACUUGAUAGAAAGGCUAAUAUUAAAAAAAAUUUCAUUAUUUACCCCAUUUUUUUCCUUUUUAAUCAUUUUAUGAAAUUAAAACCCUUGCGAAAAUUAGAACCUGCGACUUACUGUCAAGCAGAGGUGUCUGGAAAUAAGAUAAACGGCUCCUUUAAGGGUAGGAUGUAGAUCAGUCACUGCGACAACAGAAAUAGAACCUCUGUCGGCCGUGAAGUCACCUUCAGGAAGAAUGCCGAGAAUAUCUGAAUGCUAUGGAUUCAUGGUGUCAUCAUACUGUAUAUAUUCACCACUGAAGCCUAAGAUAUAAAUGUUCGAAAGUAAUUAUAGUGAUCAUAUUUCUGGUAUUCCUAAAAAAAAUGGUUUUAUCUUCUUCUUUUUAUUGAUAAGCACCACUGUGACAGCAAAUUUUAAGUAUUUUGUGAAUAAAAAAAUUGAAUCCACAG